rnacentral:tRNA from 1 species
GGCGGUGCAUUGGUGGCGCGUGACCUAGGCGAAAGACCGGGCGCGCGUUGCGGGUUCGAAUCCCGUCACCGCCA